rnacentral:rRNA from 1 species
AGUGAACGCUGGCGGUAGGCCUAACACAUGCAAGUCGAACGGCAGCACAGUAAGAGCUUGCUCUUACGGGUGGCGAGUGGCGGACGGGUGAGGAAUACAUCGGAAUCUACUUUUUCGUGGGGGAUAACGUAGGGAAACUUACGCUAAUACCGCAUACGACCUACGGGUGAAAGCAGGGGAUCUUCGGAACUUGCGCGAUUGAAUGAGCCGAUGUCGGAUUAGUUAGUUGGCGGGGUAAAGACCCACCAAGGCGACGAUCCGUAGCUGGUCUGAGAGGAUGAUCAGCCACACUGGAACUGAGACACGGUCCAGACUCCUACGGGAGGCAGCAGUGGGGAAUAUUGGACAAUGGGCGCAAGCCUGAUCCAGCCAUACCGCGUGGGUGAAGAAGGCCUUCGGGUUGUAAAGCCCUUUUGUUGGGAAAGAAAAGCAGCAGGUUAAUACCCCGCUGUUCUGACGGUACCCAAAGAAUAAGCACCGGCUAACUUCGUG